CUUGUGCCAGCAGCCGCGGUAACCCCAGCGCCACAAGUGGGAACCAUGUUUAUUGGGUCUAAAGCAUCCGUAGCCGGUUCUGCAAAUACCCUGUGAAAUCGUCCCGCUCAACGGGGCGGCGUGCAGGGUAGACUACAGGACUAGGGACCAGGUGAGGUGGACGGUAUUCCGUGGGGAGCGGUAAAAUGUGAUAAUCCUCGGAGGACCACCAAUGGCGAAGGCAGUUCACCAAAAUGGAUCCGACGGUGAGGGAUGAAAGCUAGGGGAGCGAUCCGGAUUAGAUACCCGAGUAGUCCUAGCUGUAAACUCUGCGUGCCAGAUGUUGCGUAAUCUCCGAGAUUGCGCAGUGUCGUAACGAAGGUGUUAAGCACGCCACCUGGGAAGUACGGUCGCAAGGCUGAAACUUAAAGGAAUUGGCGGGGGGACACCACAACGGGUGCGGCGUGCGGUUUAAUCGUAUUCAACACCGAGAAUCUCACCAGGGGCGACGGCACAAUGACGCUCAGUCUGAAGGGCUUAGCUGAGGAGCCGAGAGGUGGUGCAUGGCCGCCGUCAGCUCGUGCCGUGAGGUGUCCUGUUAAGUCAGGCAACGAGCGAGACCUGUAUCCAUCGUUGCUAACGCGUUCGCAAGAAUGAGCGAGCACACUAUGGGGACUGCCUUGGAAACAAGGAGGAAGGUGCAGGCUACGGCAGGUCUGU
rnacentral:rRNA from 1 species